rnacentral:rRNA from 1 species
CCUACGGGGGGCAGCAGUGGGGAAUAUUGGACAAUGGGGGCAACCCUGAUCCAGCCAUGCCGCGUGUGUGAAGAAGGCCCUCGGGUUGUAAAGCACUUUCAGUGAGGAAGAACGCCUGGUGGUUAAUACCCAUCAGGAAAGACAUCACUCACAGAAGAAGCACCGGCUAACUCCGUGCCAGCAGCCGCGGUAAUACGGAGGGUGCGAGCGUUAAUCGGAAUUACUGGGCGUAAAGCGCGCGUAGGUGGCUUGAUAAGCCGGUUGUGAAAGCCCCGGGCUCAACCUGGGAACGGCAUCCGGAACUGUCAAGCUAGAGUGCAGGAGAGGAAGGUAGAAUUCACGGUGUAGCGGUGAAAUGCGUAGAGAUCGGGAGGAAUACCAGUGGCGAAGGCGGCCUUCUGGACUGACACUGACACUGAGGUGCGAAAGCGUGGGUAGCAAACAGGAUUAGAUACCCUUGUAGUC